rnacentral:rRNA from 1 species
CAUGCAAGUCGAACGGAGUUAUUUGAAUGAAGUUUUCGGAUGGAUUUCAGAUACUUAGUGGCGGACGGGUGAGUAACGCGUGAGCAACCUGCCUUUCAGAGGGGGACAACAGUUGGAAACGACUGCUAAUACCGCAUAAUGUAUCGGAACCGCAUGGCUCUGAUACCAAAGAUUUAUCGCUGAAAGAUGGGCUCGCGUACGAUUAGAUAGUUGGUGAGGUAACGGCUCACCAAGUCGACGAUCGUUAGCCGGACUGAGAGGUUUGAACGGCCACAUUGGGACUGAGACACGGCCCAGACUCCUACGGGAGGCAGCAGUGAGGAAUAUUGGGCAAUGGGCGCAAGCCUGACCCAGCAAUGCCGCGUGAAGGAAGACGGUUUUCGGAUUGUAAACUUCUUUUAAGAGGGACGAUAAUGACGGUACCUCUUGAAUAAGCCACGGCUAACUACGUG